AAAAUAUAUUACUUCGUACCAUACAACAUGGAAAAGUCUUCGUUGGUUGUGUUUUUGCUAGUCACCUUUGUCAUCUUUUCAUUUGAUGUAGCAAUGGGCCAACAAUGUGGCGAUCAAGACUGUGCAGCGGUAAUUCCCUUUUGUAGAAUUGGAAUAAGGGAAUGUAUCGAUGGAGUUUGUAAAUGUUGUGUUUCACCAACAUGUGCUGAUAAUGAUAAAGAAAAUGUUGGACUUGGUCAUAAAGUAUUGAGUUUUGAAGAAUAUUCUUCUAAUAAUUAGUUGUUUAAUAACUAUGUGGAAUUUAUUUUAUUCGUGUUCAUCUAA